rnacentral:lncRNA from 1 species
UGGGCGAAGUGGUGCAUGCCUGUAAUCUCAGAGACUCAGGAGGCUGAGGCAGGAAGAUCACAAAUUCAAAGCUAGCCUGAGCAAUUUAGUGAGACUCUAAGACACUCAAAGCAUAUUUAGGGAGUUGCAUCUGAGUGGUAGGGAAUGCAAGGCCCUGGAUUUGCUGGGGAAAGGCAAGAAGCUUAUCACAUGUCUGUGUUUCCAAUCUUACCUACUCUACAAUCUGUUCUUCACAUGGCUACCAAAGAAAAUCUGGUUAAGUCAUACCUCUGCUUAAAUCUCUCUAGUGACUUUCUAUUCCAUUUAGAAUACUUUCUAAAUUCCUUCCUAGAACUUACAAGACUCUAUAUAGCCAGGCAUAGUGGUGCACGCCUAUAAUACUAUCAAUCUAUAACUACAAAAAGUAAAUAAAUAAAAUAAAGGUCCAUCAACAACUAAAAAAUACACAUUUUUUUUUUAAAGAAAGGAAAAAACGUCUUAAGGAACUUCUUCUCUUCACUAGAGAAGGAAAGGUACUGUCAAUAUGGGCUGGGGUUGUGGCUCAGUGGUAGAAUACUUGCCUAGCACAUGCAAGGCCCUGGGUUCAAUCCUCAGCACCACAUAAAUAAAUAAAGCUAUUGUAUUCAGCUACAACUAAAAAAUAAUAUUUUUUUUUAAAAAAAAGAACUGUCAAGGGGCUGGGGUUGUGGCUCAGUGGUA